rnacentral:rRNA from 1 species
ACACUCCUGCGGGAGGCAGCAGUGGGGAAUUUUGGACAAUGGGCGAAAGCCUGAUCCAGCAAUGCCGCGUGAGUGAAGAAGGCCUUCGGGUUGUAAAGCUCUUUUGUCAGGGAAGAAACGGUGAAAGCUAAUAUCUUUUGCUAAUGACGGUACCUGAAGAAUAAGCACCUGCUAACUACGUGCCAGCAGCCGCGGUAAUACGUAGGGUGCAAGCGUUAAUCGGAAUUACUGGGCGUAAAGCGUGCGCAGGCGGUUUUGUAAGUCUGAUGUGAAAUCCCCGGGCUCAACCUGGGAAUUGCAUUGGAGACUGCAAGGCUAGAAUCUGGCAGAGGGGGGUAGAAUUCCACGUGUAGCAGUGAAAUGCGUAGAUAUGUGGAGGAACACCGAUGGCGAAGGCAGCCCCCUGGGUCAAGAUUGACGCUCAUGCACGAAAGCGUGGGGAGCAAACAGGAUUAGAAACCCCGGUAGUCCCAUGA